UACGUAGGGGGCAAGCGUUGUCCGGAUUCAUUGGGCGUAAAGAGCGUGUAGGCGGCCAGGUAGGUCGGUUGUGAAAACUGGAGGCUCAACCUUCAGAGGUCGACCGAAACCAUCUGGCUAGAGUCCGGGAGAGGAGAGUGGAAUUCCCGGUGUAGCGGUGAAAUGCGCAGAGAUCGGGAGGAACACCCGUAGCGAAGGCGGCACUCUGGGCCGGUACUGACGCUGAGGAGCGAAAGCGUGGGGAGCAAACAGG
rnacentral:rRNA from 1 species